rnacentral:tRNA from 1 species
GUUUUUGUAGUUGAAUUACAACAUUGAUUUUUCAGAUCAAAAGUUCUGGUGUGUAUUAGACCAGGCGAGAAUU